UUAUAGAACUUUGCGUGCACAGAAAGAAGAUCCAAAAGAAGGAAUAAUGUGAUAAACAGCAGCCAAAUUACAAAUUCCCAAGUGUACCUUCACCAGCAAACAAAAACCCCAAUUUCAGCCUGCCUUCAUACUUUUUUUUUUCCUCUUUUCUCAGGGUUUUUCCUCCUAUAAAAUAAUUUGGAGUGGUCUUUGGUACUGUUUGAUCAGUCUGAAGAAAAAAGCAAUGGCGAAAUUAAUUGUUUCAGCAGUUCUGGAGAAGUUGGGUUCCUUGAUAAUGAUACCCGAAGAGAUAAAACACAAAGUUCGGGUGGCUCUGGUUCUUGAAGAAGAAAUCCAAAAAAUGGCCGCCAAUUUUCAGGAUAUUCAAUCGCUUCUUCAAGACGCAGAAGCAAAACAGCUAAAGGAUGCCAAUGUGAGAAAUUGGUUAAAGAAACUCAAAGAUGUAGCCUAUGACGUUGAUGAUGUGUUGGAUGAGUGGAAUACAGCAAAACUCCAGUCACAACUGGAGAAAGAACAAAAAGAAGUUGAAGAUUUUCCCUUGCUUAAGAAGAUACGCUACUCUAUCUCUUUUUUUACCUCUCGAAGUUUUCUAUACUAUAAUGUUGCUUCAAAGAUAAAAGACUUGAAUAAACGACUUGAGUGUAUAGAUACUGACAAAGAUAGGUAUAAAUUUGGGUUAGAGAAGGAAGUUGAAGAACCCGAAAGGCAAAUAACUUCCUCUUUCAUAGAUGAAGAAGAAGUUUAUGGUAGGUGUCAGGAGAAAACAAUUCUAGUGAACAUGUUGGUGGGAGAGAAUAGUAAUGGAGGAGGUUCGAGCUUGCAAAUCAUCUCUCUAGUAGGGAUGGGAGGAAUCGGAAAAACGACACUUGCUCAACUGGUUUACAAUCACAAUGAGGUUGAAUGUUAUUUUGACAAGAGAAUAUGGAUUUGUGUCUCAGAUCCUUUUGAUGAGAUAAGGAUUGCCAAAGAGAUCCUUGAAGCGUUUAAAGGCGAAGCUGUGAAUUUAGUUGGAAAGAAUUACAUUUUGCAGCAAAUUCGUAGUCAUGUUUUGGGGAAGAAAAUACUCCUUGUGUUGGAUGAUGUGUGGACUGAAGAUGCUACAAAAUGGGAGCAAUUGAAAAUUUCCCUCAAGUAUUGCUCUCAUGGGAGCAGAGUAUUGAUAACCACUCGUAAGGAAAGAGUUGCCAUAAUUAUGGGAACAACGACAGCAAAGGUAUUUUCAUUACAUGCCUUGUCUCAGGAGGAAUGUUGGUCAUUACUUAGCCAUAGAGCAUUCCAUGGGAGGACAAGAGAUGAGUGUGAUAAUUUAGCAGAUAUUGGCAGGAAAAUUGCAGAAAAGUGUCAGGGCUUGCCACUUGCUGCAAAGAUUCUAGGUGGUCUGCUGCGAUUCAAAAGAACUAGAGAACAAUGGCAAAGCAUCUUGGAUAGCGAAAUAUGGAGCCUUGAAGAGGCUGAACGAGAUCUUUUCCCUCCCUUAUUUUUGAGUUAUUACGAGUUACCUUGGGCUCUUAAGCAGUGCUUUUCAUAUUGCUCUGUUUUUCCCAAAGAUAAGAUCUUAAACAAAGAUGAAUUGAUCAAGUUGUGGAUGGCACAAGAUUACCUGAAGGGAGUGCAAUGCGAAGAGAUGGAGACUGUCGGUGAGGAAUAUUUUGAUGAGCUAAUGAUGCGUUCUUUUUUUCAUGAUUUUAAAAGGUCUGAACUUCACAGUGGUAUUAAGGAAUUCAAAAUGCAUGACAUCGUACAUGAUUUUGCUCAACUUUUAAUGGAAGCCGAAUGUUUGAUGCUACUAAAUGAUGGUUUUGAAGAGCAGAGUAUAGACUUUUUUGAAAAGGCUCGCCACGUAACAUUGAUUCGUAAAGAAGCUGUACCAAUAGUCCCUCAAAUUUACCAUUUAAAAAAGUUGCGUAGCCUCCUUAUUGACUCAAGCAAUCAUGAUACUUCAUCACUAAGCACAUCAUUGCCCGUGUUGUUUGAUCAAUUGACUUGUCUAAGAACAUUAGAUUUGAGUAACAGUUUGUUUGGAAAUUCAAUUGAAGAACUUCCUGAUCAAACAGGAAAUUUGGUUCAUUUGAGAUACCUUAACUUGAAACAAAAUAGAAAAUUGAAAAAAUUACCUGAAUCAGUAUGUGGGUUAUGUAACUUGCAAGCCUUAAACCUCACAUGGUGUGAUAGUCUUAAAGAAUUGCCGUUUGGAAUUGGAAAACUAAUCAACUUGAGGCAUCUUGAGAAUGAGCAAACAGAGUUGAGCUUGAGGGCAAUGCCAAAAGGAAUUGGGAGAUUAACAAACCUUCGGACGCUAAAGGUGUUCGUGGCAAUGGAUGGUGGAAUUAACAAAGAAGCAUCUACACUUGGUGAUCUUGGAAACUUAAUGCAUCUUCAAGGACAUCUUAAGAUAAGUGGACUGGGAGUUGUGUGUGAUGUGGCUGAAGCUAAGAAAGCAGAACUUCAAAACAAGAAAGGCCUCCGCAAUUUGAUACUAGAUUUUACUAAUUCCAAGGGGUUGAUGUCAGAGAGAAAAGAAGAUGAAAGACUUCUUGAAGCUUUACAGCCACCUCCUUGCUUGGAAAAAUUAGAGAUAUGGGGCUACAGUAGCCCCACCAUUGUCCCCAACUGGAUGAUGGGCUUGGCCAAGCUGAGGCAUCUUUCGCUGGGUUUUUGCUUUCAUUUGAACAUUUUGCCUCCUUUGGGGAAAUUGCCAUCCCUUGAAUCACUCUAUAUAGGGGAAAUGAGAAGUUUGGAAAAAGUGGGAAUUGAAUUUUUGGGUGUUGAAAAAGAAGAGAUAUCAGCAUUGUCUGCAUCGUCAGAGUCACCUUCAUCUAUUAUUGCCUUUCCUAGUUUAAAACAUCUCGAAUUUCGUGAUAUGGAAGAGUGGGGUUAUUGGAUCCCAUUAACAAGCAAAGAAGAAGAGCUUAUUAGUAUUAUGCCUCGGCUUUGUUCCCUAACAAUUGAUUCCUGCCCAAAGUUAAGUGCACUGCCAUGCUACAUUGUUAAGAAUACAAGUCUAAAGCAAUUGGACAUAAGUCAGAGUCCUAUUCUUUCAGAACGCUGCAGAAAGGAGACAGGGGAGGACUGGCUUAAAAUUUCUCAUAUCCCUAGUAUCAUAAUCGAUGGUCUAUGCGUGCAAGUAAACUGCUUUUCUACAGAAGAGUUUGGAGUAUUGCAAUUGCAGCCACUACACAGCUCUUUGUUAAGUUCUAAUGAUUUCCACAAAGCGUUUCAACAAGACUGAUGUGUAUCAGAGGAGAGGUGACUUGUUUCAAGGCGCCUUUAUAAUUAUUGAAAUACAUGCAAUGUCACUCGUUAAUGCAUAAUUAACCAUUGGUGUUUGAGCUAGCAUAUGAAGCUCAUAUGACAUGCUGGUCUAUACUUUUUGAUUUCAAAGCAUGUGAAGAGGAAAUUUCCCCAUAAAACUUUUGGGUGAUGCACGGAACAUAGACUAGGAACUGGAUAUUAAGUAACAUGGGAUGUCAAAGAAAGGGGACUAAAGCAGGUUGCGUCAGAUUUUGCUCGAUACUAGUGAAGAUUGAGAGAUCUCUUGGACAAGGUUAUCAAAGAAGACUUAUCCUACAUCGACAAGAUUAUCAAAAGAAGACUUAUCAUAUAUCGAUCCUUCAUUUCGAAAGGCUGUUGCUUCUCUAGUCAUCUGUCUCAUUUGUACUCUUAAUUUCCCAUCCCGAUUGCAACACUUUUAUUGCACAUAUUUCCUUUCUUUAAGUUAUAUUUGAUUAGUACAAAGGAGCAAAGUUAUAUAAAGCUCUUUGCUCUAAGAGGAUGAAGAGACGAGGAAACUUUCAAUUUGUCUAAUAUGUGUAAAAUACAAAAAUUAAUAUAUCAUA